rnacentral:rRNA from 1 species
UACAGAGGGUGCGAGCGUUGUCCGGAAUCACUGGGCGUAAAGGGCGCGUAGGCGGCCUGCUAAGUAGAGGGUGAAAUCCUGCGGCUCAACCGCAGGGCUGCCUUCUAAACUGUCAGGCUGGAGCACGGUAGAGGCAGAUGGAAUUCCCGGUGUAGCGGUGGAAUGCGUAGAGAUCGGGGAAGAACACCAGUGGCGAAGGCGGUCUGCUGGGCCGUUGCUGACGCUGAGGCGCGACAGCGUGGGGAGCAAACAGG